CAGCGAGUGCAGCCGCUGCCCCCCGGGGGCGGGGGUUGGGUACUAGUUUUUUCUCCCUGGGGCUGGUAAAUUUCCUCUUUGCUCUUACUAAUGCCAAGUGCGCGUGUGAGCGCGCUGGAGCUGGUUUGAGGAAACGUUUUGCCUUUUCCUUCUUCUCAGGCGAUAUUCCCCACCCCCGAAGUGUCUCUCGUUAGCGAAUUAGCAUCUUGGUUAAGGCUUGGUCAGCUGUGGCUUUGGGAACCCGGGGUGAGCCCAGGAAGCUACGCUGGUGUUCGGAGAAACCACGGUGGGCUGCAGAGGUUGAGAGAGAACAUCAAACUCCAAAGAGAGCGGGAGAGGAAUCCUUUUUUGGGAGAGCAGUUAGGAGGGCUGGGGUGGGGGUGGGGGCUGUCUUUGUUUAAAUGCUUGGCAUUCCUGUCAUCGUGCUUGCUUACGGGGUAGACCCUGUGUGUGCGUGCGCCUGGGGAAUAAACACAUGUUGGAAGCCUCGAUAUGAUUUUCUAAGCAGAAACCUGCAGCCUUUAGUAACUGGCAAAGUGUAGCGUCACCUAUCUGGAUAAAAGGGAAAUAAACUUUAAUGGCAACUUUGUGUACCGAAGAGUCCCUAGCUCCUUUUCUCUCCUUCUUUUGACUUUGUGCCACUUGAUCGUACAUGGUAUUCCCCCACGCGAGGCUUCCCCACUUUUCAGUCACUGCCGCCGCAUCCUGCCUCAUCGAAUUUCAUUUCUGGUUGUUUUCUAAACUGUAGCCAUUUGCUCUUAUUUCAGUGGCUGUCGGGGGCCCAGCCAGGAUGGGAGGGGGGGCGGUGUUGAGAUAAGCAGGAGAUACUUGGGAAGAAUUCUUACACUUCAAAGAAGAAAAGAGGCUGCUGCUGGAUUUUGGUUGGUCCUCAUCUGGUCUGCUCAAUCUAUAGGAAUUGAAGGGCCUCCUCUUAAAGGAAAAUUUAAAGCAAAAAGAAGAAAAGAGAAAGAAAUCCGUCCAGAGUGGGGUCCAAGGAGAAAGAGGGAAGCCAGCUCCACUCUGCGGCCUUGCCCCCGAGCAUUCCGAUACGCGGCAAUAUGGUGCAGUGAACUCACUCCCCUCGUCGCCUUUACUAAGAUUUUGCAAACUUCAGGCAGCCGCGUGGGUAGAGACGUUGCACCCUCUCUUGCCUCACCAGACCAUAAACUUGAACAAGCCCCUGCGCAUCUUCAAGUAGUCGCCCACCGCUCCGGCGAGCAAUUUUGAGGCACACAUCCACAAGGGGCGAAAGAGUGGGAGGCUUUUCCCCAGCGCGGGGAAAAUUUCUUCCCAGAUGACCGGAGGGCGGGGGUGUAGAGGGGGGCGCAGCGCGUCCUUCACAGUGGAGUGGUUUCCACAUUGCGGGCGGGAGGUAGUCUUUGGCCCGCCCUCCCUACUCUCAUCCUUACCAACUCUGCCGCCCAGCCAAACCGGCGUGGGAAAUGGGUCCGACGUGCGCGGCAUGGGGAAUAGCCCGGCCAGACAGCCGAGGCCUUGAAGCCUUCUGGCUCUCCUCCCUCCUCCCCAAGGUCCCCGACUCCGACCUCUCCUCCGGAGCAGCCCGGGAGUGUUGGCCGCCUUGCCCAGCCGCUUGGUUCUUGGGAAAGGGAACGAAAUAGGCGGGGUAGGGCGGUGGGCGAAGUGAGGGGAGCCCUCGGGGGCACCCUUACAGCUGCCGGAGCUCCCAGUUCUCUUCCGUCCCCUGUCUAGGGACGGACACUCCAACUCCAGAAUCCAGCCGGCGCGGAGGAUGAAUGCGGGCGAGAAGUCCUUUCCCCUCACCCCCGCCCCAUUUCCGCAGUCUCAGAGCCAGUGUCACAAGUGCUCAGCAAUUUCAUUAAAUGGAACCGGUGGGGGGGGGGGGG
rnacentral:lncRNA from 1 species